rfam:Rattus norvegicus strain BN; Sprague-Dawley chromosome 1 CRA_213000034396670, whole genome shotgun sequence.
UAGCGUUCACCAAGGCAAGCAGAUGGCGCCAGGAGACAUGGAGCCCCCCUGCCAGUGUGAGUCGUAGCAGUACAGGAGGGCACACCCUGGAGGAGACAGCUGCCUAAGUUGAUGUCUGCACAGUGAAUUCCAGAGGCUUAGGAAGCUCUGCG